CCACCACCUCGACUCAGCUUCUCGCCACCUCGCCUCUCUCGCUGUCGACUCAGCAGCACCUGAGCUUCUUCCUUCUGCUUCGUUCGGUUUCCAUUUGUGUUUUUCAUUGUUAAUUUCCGCUUGCAGUUCAAGGUGAAAUCAAAGACCGCAGCAAGGAUUACGUCUGCUCUCAUUUUGCUGGUGGAAACUCGUUUUGACCCUUUUGAUCAAGAUUUACAAUCAAGCUGCUGGUGUAUAUCAACUCUGAAAAAGGUAGCUCUCUCUUGACUCCAUUCCAUUUUCCUUUCUCUUUUUUCUUGAUGCCAAAUUGACGAUAUGAUCUUGAAACCUAGGAGUUCUAUGUGACAUUCAUUAGUCUGAUAGCAGUAAUUUCAACUCAAAUUCAGUUUUUAAUUAAUGGAAUGUUUAAUAUUCUGUUUGAAUUACAUAUCAGACAGCUAUAUUGGGAUGGAUUAAGCCUAGGAUUGAAGGGCUGGUUUAUAACUUCACAAUAGCUUUAUUUGUUAAUGUGUCAUGAUAUUGAUGCACAAACAUAUAAUUGGUCGAAGCUUCAACAUCUUUUUACCUUUUUUAUACUCUGUCGUGGUUUCUAAUGGGAAGUUUGAGACCGUUUUUACAAUGGUGAUAGUUGUAGUCAUUGAUUAUAAUUUAUGACUGUUUAUCUAUCAAUCUAUGUGUUGAUUGUGUUCUAUGUUCUGUGUUCUCACAUUAUGGUAGAGAACCCUUACAAUCUCAACUGAUCUGAAACCCUUACAAUCUCACAGCAUCCCUCUUUCCCUGCUAAUCUGGACUUUUGUGUUUUCAUUGGACAUGUGUUAUUUAAUUUUCUGUAUAACACUUUAGACGUUGUUGGCUUGUUGUAUUUGAACUUUUGAAGUUUUGAUCUUGCUUGUUUAUGCAUUUGAAAUUAUAUGAUGUGUGAAACUUUGAAUGUGUUUGAACUUUGAAUGUGUUUGAACUUUGAAUAGUUUGAUAAUUGAUAGAAGUUUGGUAUAGGCCCAAAAAAAGGAUUUAAAUGAG